rnacentral:rRNA from 1 species
UGGGGAAUAUUGCACAAUGGGCGCAAGCCUGAUGCAGCAAUGCCGCGUGAGUGAAGACGGCCUUAGGGUUGUAAAACUCUUUCGCUAGGGAAGAUAAUGACGGUACCUAGUAAAGAAGUCCCGGCUAACUCCGUGCCAGCAGCCGCGGUAAUACGGAGGGGACUAGCGUUGUUCGGAAUUACUGGGCGUAAAGCGCACGUAGGCGGACCAGAAAGUUGGGGGUGAAAUCCCGGGGGCUCAACCCCGGAACUGCCUCCAAAACUAUUGGUCUAGAGUUCGAGAGAGGUGAGUGGAAUUCCAAGUGUAGAGGUGAAAUUCGUAGAUAUUAGGUGGAACACCAGUGGCGAAGGCGCCUAACUGGUCCGGUACUGACGCUGAGGAACGAAAGCGUGGGGAGCAAACAGGAUUAGAUACCCUGGUAGUCCACGCCGUAAACGAUGAGUGCUAGAUGUUGGGAUUUUCGGAUUUCAGUGUCGCAGCUAACGCAUUAAG